UUUUACUUCAUUUCGACCUAGUCUGGUGUUGAGGAAUCUCAUUGCUGAUAAUCGAGAGAAGCUUGAAGUAUAAAUCAUGAGAAAGAUAAUGGCAAAUGAUCAUAGGAGGUAGCUAAUGGAUCAUUCCAUGUGUUAUGAGUUCUGUAUUCUCAGAUCUUUCUUUGAAGUUCCUCUUUGUGAGACCUUUUACUUGUAUCUUUAAGAGAAGCUUGCUGUUGUGUAAGUAAUUGAUCUUUCUUGUGGCCUUUGUUUGUCUGCUAGAGAAUGAUGACGCACAACUGUAGUGGACAGCGGUCUCAUUCCAGGAAGACAUCAUUUAUGUCCAUUAUAUUAGUGGCCAAACCAUAUUGAGUUCGUAAUUGAGUUUACAUGUAUUUCAUUUCUCUUUUGUCGGUAUUGGAUUCUAUUUUUUUUUUAUUGAAUUUGAUAACAUGUAUGAAUCACUUCUCUUGUAUAAAAAUUUCAUUGAUUAAAUCACACCCAUAUUAGCAUUCUUGGCAGCUCAUAACAUGGAAAAAGAAUGAGAUUGAUGUGGAACAAACUCAUCCAUUUUUGGGGCAAAUAGAUGAGAGUUUAUAGCUAAACCUUGGUAUAACCUUAUCGCUAGCUUUUAGAAAUGUCGUACACUAUCUUUUGUAACCUUAUGCAUUCCUUUUGUGGCUGAAAUAAAUUCUUCUAUGUACCCUUUGUUUAUGAGAGUCUUGCAUUAUGUCACCUAAUAAUAAGAUGCCAUCUUUGUUGUUGCGUCUUUGGUUAGAUCUUAUGCUCAUUCAAUUCACUAAGCAGAAUUCUCGAUUUUUGCUGUGGAAAUAAGCAAAUUGAUUUUGGGGCUUUACCAUGCCUGCCAUUUAUAGCUUCAGUCAUACCGUCUGCAACAAUUUCUCCUCCACUUAAGCAUCCUCAUUUGUUGCUGAAUAGAAGUUCAAUAAUAUGCUUUGGAGUCUUUAUUUUUUCCUAGAUAGAUCUUGGUUCAUUGAUUUCUUUAGUAGUUCCUAUACUAUCAAAUGGAUAUCUGAAACACUAGUCCUUAAACUCAUUAGAAUUCAAAGAUGAGGUCUAUGAUUUUAUCUUUGACAGAGAUGAUUCUGGAUUUGCCCUAUCUUGCUGCUGUGCGUAUGUGCACUUAUAGAUGUGGAUGCUUGUGCAAUAUAUGUUUUGCUGGGUAUGUGAAUAUUCAUGCAUUAUAUUUGUAUUUAGUCAAUGUUGGCAUUGAAAGUGCAAAGGUAGGUCAUAGUCUUCACCUCGGCAUGAAAUUGAUUAUGUAGUUGACCGAACUUGCAUCAUUGCUGCAUAUUGAGUUUCCAGAAAUAUGUUUGGCUUGUGCAACCAUUUGAGUUGGAGAUGAGGUAAUUAUCUGCUGUGUUUUCUUCGAUGAUAUAUAAGUGUCAUUGCAUCUCUAGUUUGUCCAUGAUCCUAAU
rnacentral:lncRNA from 1 species